rnacentral:rRNA from 1 species
UCAAGCAGAAUAUGAAAGCGUACGGCUCAACCGUAUACACGUAUCCUGAACUGUUAAACUAGAGGGCGAGAGAGGUUUCUAGAAUUUCUUGUGUAGGAGUGAAAUCCGUAGAUAUAAGAAGGAAUACCGAUGGCGUAGGCAGGAAACUGGCUCGCACCUGACACUAAGGCACGAAAGCGUGGGUAGCAAACGGGAUUAGAUACCCCGGUAGUCCACGCCGUAAACUAUGGAUGCUA